CUUGGUCAUUUAGAGGAAGUAAAAGUCGUAACAAGGUUUCCGUAGGUGAACCUGCGGAAGGAUCAUUACCGAAUUGUCAAACGGGUUGUUGCUGGUCCUUGAAAGGGGACAUGUGCACGCUCUGUUUACACAUCCACUCACACCUGUGCACCCUCCGUAGUUCUAUGGUCUGGGAGACCUUGUCUUCCUGCCGUGGUUCUACGUCUUUACACACACACUGUAACAAAGUCUUAAGGAAUGUAUGCAGCGUCUAACGCAAUACAAUACAACUUUCAGCAACGGAUCUCUUGGCUCUCGCAUCGAUGAAGAACGCAGCGAAAUGCGAUAAGUAAUGUGAAUUGCAGAAUUCAGUGAAUCAUCGAAUCUUUGAACGCACCUUGCGCCCCUUGGCUAUUCCGAGGGACAUGCCUGUUUGAGUAUCAUGAACACCUCAACUCUCAUGGUUCGCCGUGAUGAGCUUGGACUCUGGGGGAUUUGCUGGCCUGCGGUCAGCUCCCCUCAAAUGAAUCAGCCUCCCAGUGUUUGGUGGCAUCACGGGUGUGAUAAAUAUCUACGCUCGUGGUUGCCUGCCAGGUAACCUUUGGUGACAAAGGUUUGCUGGAGCUUACAGAUGUCUCUCCUCAGCGAGGACAGCUUUUUGGACGUUCGAUCUCAAAUCAGGUAGGACUACCCGCUGAACUUAAGCAUAUCAAUAAGCGGAGGAA
rnacentral:rRNA from 1 species